UCCUACGGGGGGCAGCAGUGGGGGAUAUUGCACAAUGGGGGAAACCCUGAUGCAGCGACGCCGCGUGGACGAAGAAGUAUUUCGGUAUGUAAAGUCCUAUCAGCAGGGAAGAAGAAAUGACGGUACCUGGCUAAGACGCCCCGGCUAACUACGUGCCAGCAGCCGCGGCAAUACGUAGGGGGCAAGCGUUAUCCGGAUUUACUGGGUGUAAAGGGAGUGUAGACGGCGAUGCAAGUCUGAAGUGAAAGCCCGGGGCUCAACCCCGGGCCUGC
rnacentral:rRNA from 1 species